rnacentral:rRNA from 1 species
AAAUUGAAGAGUUUGAUCAUGGCUCAGAUUGAACGCUGGCGGCAGGCCUAACACAUGCAAGUCGAGCGGUAGCACAGAGAGCUUGCUCUCGGGUGACGAGCGGCGGACGGGUGAGUAAUGUCUGGGAAACUGCCUGAUGGAGGGGGAUAACUACUGGAAACGGUAGCUAAUACCGCAUAAUGUCGCAAGACCAAAGUGGGGGACCUUCGGGCCUCAUGCCAUCAGAUGUGCCCAGAUGGGAUUAGCUAGUAGGUGGGGUAACGGCUCACCUAGGCGACGAUCCCUAGCUGGU